ACAGAAAUAGGUAAAAUAUAUUGUUAUAGGGAAUCUGUUUCUCUAUUUGUAUUAGUAUGGUUUUGCAGCACUAAAAAAAAAACCUCUCCUGCUGCUGUGAUGUCACUUCCUGUCUUGUCAUGCUGUAUGUUUGCAGUGAAGCCCCGGGCAGUGCUGCUGUGCUGCUCCUCUCUCUCCAGCACAGGCACGUGAAGAUGGCUGGAGUUUUUAUUGUGUUCACAGCAUUGCUGCUGUGUCUCCCAGAUUUCUCAGAUGGUAUCAACAUUGUCCAGUCCCCUCCUUCUCUGUUUGUGAGUCCUGGACACUCUGCUGAACUCCAGUGCUAUCACGGUGAUAGCAGCUAUACCCGCAUGUACUGGUACCAGCAAACCAGGAAAGGAGCUUUGGAGCUGAUUGGAUAUGAGUAUGGCACAAUAUACCCUGAAGAAAAGUUUAAAGAAAGAUUCAGAAUGACUGGAAAAGCAACAGAGAAGGGCUUUUUAACCAUCUCCAGUGUAACAGCUGAAGACAGUGCUGUGUACUUCUGUGCAGCCAGCAUACACAGUGCUGCAGAUCACCUCUCUCCUCUACAAUAAGUGUUCCUAGCUACAGCUUGCAUGAGAACAUUUCAUCUCAACACCUGGCUUUUUCAACGUGGUUUAUCGGCACCACCACCUGCUCUGCUGUCAUUUCCUGUCUUGUGAUAUUCAUGAAACUCAAUGCAGGGCAGUGCUGCUGUGCUGCUCCUGUCUCUCCAGCCCCGAGACGUCAGCAUGGCUGGAGUUUCAAUUGCAUUCUCUGCUUUCCUGCUGUGUCUCCCCUGUGCAAAUCUCUAACUCAUACUGACAGUGAUACAAAACACAACUACAGAAUGAUUCUUAUUGUAUUUUGUGAUUUUUUCCCUUCAUAUUUGCUGUUUGUUUUUCAUUACUGCCUAUGUAGACAGACCCAGUAUCAGUGUUGACCAGCCCCUCCUUCACUGAGUGAAACACUAGGACAGUCUGUCAUCGUGGUGACUGCAGGGAAACUCACAUGAAUCAGAGGUGAUAAUCACUGAGGAAUGUUCAUUAUCCCUCCAGAACAUUGCAAGCAUGAUAAUCAAUUAACCAAUCAGCGCCUGACCACAUUCCACACUUGUCCUGCUUACCAAGGGGAUCAGAGACAUCGCUGGAGUUUCCAUGCGUUUUCUUUUUUAAGAGCGAGACAUUUGCUUGAGAAAAAUGU